rnacentral:rRNA from 1 species
UACGUAGGGGGCAAGCGUUGUCCGGAAUUAUUGGGCGUAAAGCGUCCGCAGGUGGCACUUCAAGUCUGCUGUCAAAGACCGGGGCUUAACCCUGGAAAGGCAGUGGAAACUGAAGCGCUAGAGUGUGGCAGGGGUAGAGGGAAUUCCCGGUGUAGCGGUGAAAUGCGUAGAGAUCGGGAAGAACAUCGGUGGCGAAAGCGCUCUACUGGGCCAUAACUGACACUCAGGGACGAAAGCUAGGGGAGCGAAUGGG